AACGAACGCUGGCGGCAUGCCUAACACAUGCAAGUCGAACGAGACCUUCGGGUCUAGUGGCGCACGGGUGCGUAACGCGUGGGAAUCUGCCCUUGGGUCCGGAACAACAGUUAGAAAUGACUGCUAAUACCGGAUGAUGACUUCGGUCCAAAGAUUUAUCGCCCAGGGAUGAGCCCGCGUCGGAUUAGCUAGUUGGUGAGGUAAAGGCUCACCAAGGCGACGAUCCGUAGCUGGUCUGAGAGGAUGAUCAGCCACACUGGGACUGAGACACGGCCCAGACUCCUACGGGAGGCAGCAGUGGGGAAUAUUGGACAAUGGGCGAAAGCCUGAUCCAGCAAUGCCGCGUGAGUGAUGAAGGCCUUAGGGUUGUAAAGCUCUUUUACCCGGGAUGAUAAUGACAGUACCGGGAGAAUAAGCCCCGGCUAACUCCGUGCCAGCCGCCGCAGUAACAC
rnacentral:rRNA from 1 species